rnacentral:misc_RNA from 1 species
GAUGAAGAACGUAGCGAAAUGCGAUAAGUAAUGUGAAUUGCAGAAUUCAGUGAAUCAUCGAAUCUUUGAACGCACAUUGCGCCCUCUGGUAUUCCGGGGGGCAUGCCUGUUCGAGCGUCAUUAUAACCACUCAAGCUCUCGCUUGGUAUUGGGGUUCGCGGUUCCGCGGCCCCUAAAAUCAGUGGCGGUGCCUGUCGGCUCUACGCGUAGUAAUACUCCUCGCGUCUGGGUCCGGUAGGUCUACUUGCCAGCAACCCCCAAUUUUUACAGGUUGACCUCGGAUCAGGUAGGGAUACCCGCUGAACUUAAGCAUAUCAAUAAGCGGAGGA